rnacentral:tRNA from 1 species
GACUCCAACAAAAUAGCUCAGUUGGUUAAAGCGUGGUGCUGAUAAGGCCAAGGUUGCAGGUUCGAUCCCUGUAUGGAACA